GGGCUUGACAUCCCACGAACCUGCCCGAAAAGGUGGGGUGCCCGCAAGGGAGCGUGGAGACAGGUGGUGCAUGGCUGUCGUCAGCUCGUGUCGUGAGAUGUAGGGUUAAGUCCCGCAACGAGCGCAACCCUCACCCCUAGUUGCCACCGGGUUAAGCCGAGCACUCAAGGGGAACUGCCAGCGUCAAGCUGGAGGAAGGCGGGGAUGACGUCAAGUCAUCAUGCCCCUUACGCCCUGGGCUACACACGUGCUACAAUGGCCAGUACAAAGGGACGCGAGACUGCGAAGUGGAGCUAAUCCCAAAAAGCUGGUCUAAGUUCAGAUUGCAGUCUGCAACUCGACUGCAUGAAGGAGGAAUCGCUAGUAAUCGCGUAUCAGCCCGGCGCGGUGAAUACGUUCCCGGGCCUUGUACACACCGCCCGUCACACCACGAAAGCUGUCUGUACUCGAAGUCGCUGAG
rnacentral:rRNA from 1 species